ensembl:lncRNA
UCUCUCUGUCUGUCUCUCUAACCCUCUCUCUCUCUAUGUCUGUCUCUCUAACCCUCUCUCUCUCUAUCUGUCUGUCUCUCUAUCCCUCUCUAUCUGUCUGUCUCUCUAUCCCUCUCUCUCUCUAUCUGUCUGUCUCUCUAUUCCUCUCUCUGUCUCUCUCUAUAUCUCUCUCUCUCUAUCCCUCUCUCUCUGUCUCUCUCUAACCCUCUCUCUCUCUGUCUGUCUCUCUAACCCUCUCUCUCUCUCUAUCUGUCUGUCUCUCUAACCCUCUCUCUCUCUCUAUCUGUCUGUCUCUCUAUCCCUCUCUAUCUGUCUGUCUCUCUAUCCCUCUCUCUCUCUAUCUGUCUGUCUCUCUAUUCCUCUCUCUCUGUCUGUCUCUCUAUCCCUCUCUCUCUCUCCCUCUCCUUCUCUGCAGUGAGAGAGACAGAUGGAGAAACAGAAGGUAUGUGUUAUUCCGUGCUGUUGGACUCGGUCGUGUCUCGUCUGUUUUGACUCUCGGCAUUUGAAAUAAAUUAGUGUCUCGUUUCAGUUCUCAGGUCAGCAGGAGUGCAGCGAGCUCUCCACCUCCUCACCUGCUCUCCGUUAUCCCUCCAUCUGCCUGAUUCUUAUCAUAAAACAUGUUUUAUUGCAGAAGAAAUAAAACAGCAAAUAUGAAACAAUUCCAAAUGACUUGGGAAAAAAAAAGAGAGAGAGAGAGAGAGAGAGAGAGAGACAGAGAGAGAGAGAGAGAGGUUAUUUGUCAAUAAAAGACUCGCACGUGUCCGAGACGCUUUACUGGAAACGCUACAGAGGCGCGCGGGUCUGUGCUAAACAUUUUACAUCAAUGUUACAGAAUAAUAAACAAAAAGAUAAACGAAACAAACAAAUAAACAAAUAAGUAAACAUAAUUACAGAUGACAAAUAAUGAAGAAAUCUCGUCGUUUUCUUUUUCUCGGCCUUUCCAAAACUAAACUGAUCAUGUAAACUGUCCCGUCAUUAUAAUGACUUUCUGCUUUAUAAAGUUACAAUAAUAAUAAUAAUAAUAAUAAUAAUAAUAAUUCACGUACAAACACUGAAACAACAUUCUCAUGCUAAGACGCAUCUUCACCUGCUUUCUACUGUCCACGGUUGUUUAUUUAUUUAUUUAUUUAUUUCAUAAAAUGUUUGGGUUUUGUUUUCGGAAGAGCAAACACAGAGACGAACUAGAAACGGUGUCUUUAAAACCCCAAAUAAAUCAAAUUAAGCGAUAAAACGCUCCGUGUCAUUUUGUUCUAGGAUGACAAUCAACGCUGAUUAGUUUCCUGUAGUGGCGCGUCCCUGAGUGAGUGUUUUAUUCCCCUCCGCACCGCACCGCACUGGAGACUCCUUCCAUACAUGAUGAAGACAUUUACAGAAAGCUUCACCACGUCAACGAUUCUUUAAGACCCGCUUAAUAUUAUUAUUCUACACAUCGCCGUGAACGAGCGCGUUAACGUGAACCUGCGCCGCUGUCGGAGCCGCCGUGAGAGAGAAUCUAUUCCGCUGAAUAAUUCUCCAUGCUGUGGUAAUAAUCCGUUCUGAUAUUUAACACUAAAUCAUUCAGACAUUUUCUUAACAGUUCGAAGCUAAGAAAACGACGUGGAAACGUAACGCCAGCGUCAGCUCGUGAUGAGGAACCCGUAUACCCGAUAUACCUUUCUCUCCCAUCUCUGGAGUACGCUCACUGCACUAACGUGAUUUAACGCCAUUUAACGUGGGGUAGGACACGGCCCCGCCCGGCCCGGAAGCUGAAAGGAAAAGUUACGGCUCCAAUAAAUCCUUUACUGCUCAAUCCGUGAUGAUGGUGAUGAUGAUGGUGAUGGUGAUGAUGAUGGUGAUGGUGAUGAUGAUGAUGAUGAUGAUGGUGAUGAUGAUGAUGAUGGUGAUGAUGGUGAUGAUGAUGGUGAUGGUGAUGGUAAUGAUGGUGAUGAUGUGAUGAAGAUGGUGGUGGUGAUGAUGUGAUGAUGAAGAUGAUGAUGGUGAUGAUGAUGGUGGUGGUGAUGGUGUGAUGACGGUGAUGGUGAAGAUGAUGAAGAUGAUGGUGGUGGUUGUGAUGGUGGUGGUCAUGAUGGUGAUGAUGUGAUGAAGAUGAUGGUGGUGAUGUGAUGAUGAAGAUGAUGAUGAUGGUGGUGGUGAUGUGGUGAUGAUGAUGGUGGUGGUGGUGAUGAUGCUGAUGAUGAUGAUGGUGGUGGUGAUGUGAUGAUGAUGAUGGUGAUGAUGAUGUGAUGAUGAAGAUGAUGGUGAUGAUGUGAUGAAGAUGGUGGUGGUGAUGGUGGUGAUGUGAUGAUGAAGAUGAUGGUGAUGUGAUGAUGAAGAUGAUGAUGGUGGUGGUGGUGGUGAUGAAGAUGUGAUGAUGUGAUGAUGAAGAUAAUGGUGGUGGUGGUGAUGUGAUGAUGAAGAUAAUGGUGGUGGUGGUGAUGUGAUGAUGAAGAUGACGAUGGUGAUGAUGGUGGUGAUGAUGUGAUGAUGAAGAUGUGAUGAUGAUGAUGGUGAUGAUUAGACAAUUAGACGGUUUUUUAAUUGCUUCUCAUUGUCACUAUAGAAACGAUAAUGUGUUGGAAGGAGCGCGUUAAUGUGAGCCUGCGCCGCUGCCGGAGCUGCUGUUAUCUGUCCAAUCAGAAUCCAGAAUUGAACAGCACGGUUGUAUAAACAGCUUCGGAAAGACGCGAUGAUUAAAAAUAACGCUCCGUACGCGCUGCAGCUGCUCGCGUCUGUGCAAGCCGUCAGUUUGGGUUUUGCUCCAAAUUCGACGUUAACAAAAACAAGCCGUACGCCUUUAGAGCGGCGUUCUGCAGGAAUAAACGCAACCCCACUGUGCGACAGGAACAGGAUCAUUUGUCAGAGAAUAAAAAAGCUGCAGUUCUGUAAAAUCUUUGGGGUUUUUCUCACUUGGCUCCGGAGGCUGUGGACGCGUUUGGAAGGAAAGACUUCGCACCUGGUGCUGUCUGACUUCAUCUCAGCUUUUUACACUAACGCAUGAGCUCACGGACACCUGACACCACCGCUAUCACGAGGAGAGGAGGAGAGGAGAGGAGAGGAGGAAAAGACAAGAGAAGAGAGGAGGAAAAGACAUGAGAGGAGAGGAGAAGAGAGGAGAGGAGAAGAGGAGAGGAGGGGAGACGAGAGAAGAGAAGAGAGGAGAAGAGAGGAGAAGAGAGGAGAAGAGAGGAGCAGAGAAGAGAGGAGAGGAGAGGAGAGGAGAUGAGAAGAGAG